AGAGUUUGAUCCUGGCUCAGGAUGAACGCUAGCGGCAGGCUUAAUACAUGCAAGUCGAACGGUAACGGAUCCAGCAAUGGAUGCCGACGAGUGGCGCACGGGUGAGUAACGCGUAUGCAACCUACCUUUAACUGGGGAAUAGCCCCGAGAAGUCGGGAUUAAUACCCCAUAGUAUCUACGGAUCGCAUGAUUUGUAAAUUAAAGUUUUUAACGGUUAAAGGUGGGCAUGCGUAACAUUAGCUAGUUGGUGAGGUAACGGCUCACCAAGGCUACGAUGUUUAGGGGUCCUGAGAGGGUGAUCCCCCACACUGGUACUGAGACACGGACCAGACUCCUACGGGAGGCAGCAGUAGGGAAUAUUGGGCAAUGGACGCAAGUCUGACCCAGCCAUGCCGCGUGCAGGAUUGACGGCCCUAUGGGUUGUAAACUGCUUUUCUGCAGGAAGAACUCCUUCUACGUGUAGGAGGUUGACGGUACUGUAGGAAUAAGCAUCGGCUAACUCCGUGCCAGCAGCCGCGGUAAUACGGAGGAUGCAAGCGUUAUCCGGAUUUAUUGGGUUUAAAGGGUGCGCAGGCGGACUAAUAAGUCAGAGGUGAAAUCCCACAGCUUAACUGUGGAACUGCCUUUGAUACUGUUAGUCUUGAGUGCAGUUGAGGUAGGCGGAAUGUGUUAUGUAGCGGUGAAAUGCUUAGAUAUGACACAGAACACCAAUCGUGAAGACAGCUUACCAAGCUGCUACUGACGCUCAUGCACGAAAGCGUGGGGAGCGAACAGGAUUAGAUACCCUGGUAGUCCACGCUGUAAACGAUGGACACUCGCUGUUGGCGAUACACAGUCAGCGGCUGAGCGAAAGUAUUAAGUGUCCCACCUGGGGAGUACGAUCGCAAGGUUGAAACUCAAAGGAAUUGACGGGGGCCCGCACAAGCGGAGGAGCAUGUGGUUUAAUUCGAUGAUACGCGAGGAACCUUACCUAGGCUUAAAUGUUGGACGAUCGUCCGGGAAACCGGUCCUUCCUUCGGGACGUCCAGCAAGGUGCUGCAUGGUUGUCGUCAGCUCGUGCCGUGAGGUGUCGGGUUAAGUCCCAUAACGAGCGCAACCCCUAUUCUUAGUUGCCAGCAUGUAAUGAUGGGGACUCUAAGGAAACUGCCUACGCAAGUAGUGAGGAAGGUGGGGAUGACGUCAAAUCAGCACGGCCCUUAUGCCUAGGGCUACACACGUGCUACAAUGGCCGGUACAGAGGGCAGCUACACAGUGAUGUGAUGCAAAUCUCGAAAACCGGUCUCAGUUCGGAUCGAAGUCUGCAACUCGACUUCGUGAAGUUGGAUUCGCUAGUAAUCGCGCAUCAGCCAUGGCGCGGUGAAUACGUUCCCGGGCCUUGUACACACCGCCCGUCAAGCCAUGGAAGCUUGGGGUACCUGAAGUUCGUGACCGUAAGGAGCGACCUAGGGUAAAACGAGUGACUGGGGCUAAGUCGGAACAAGGUA
rnacentral:rRNA from 1 species